UACGGAAGGGGCUAGCGUUGUUCGGAAUCACUGGGCGUAAAGCGCGCGCAGGCGGCGCGAUCAGUGCGGCGUGAAAGUCCUGGGCUCAACCUGGGGACGGCGCUGCAGACUGUCGUGCUGGAGUCCGGGAGAGGGUGGUGGAAUUCCGAGUUUAGAGGUGAAAUUCGUAGAUAUUCGGAGGAACACCGGUGGCGAAGGCGGCCACCUGGCCCGGAACUGACGCUCAAGCGCGAAAGCUCGGGGAGCGAACGGG
rnacentral:rRNA from 1 species